rnacentral:rRNA from 1 species
AUUGAACGCUGGCGGCAUGCCUUACACAUGCAAGUCGAACGGCAGCACGGGAGCAAUCCUGGUGGCGAGUGGCGAACGGGUGAGUAAUAUAUCGGAACGUGCCCAGUCGUGGGGGAUAACGUAGCGAAAGCUACGCUAAUACCGCAUACGAUCUAUGGAUGAAAGCGGGGGAUCGCAAGACCUCGCGCGAUUGGAGCGGCCGAUAUCAGAUUAGGUAGUUGGUGAGGUAAAGGCUCACCAAGCCGACGAUCUGUAGCUGGUCUGAGAGGACGACCAGCCACACUGGGACUGAGACACGGCCCAGACUCCUACGGGAGGCAGCAGUGGGGAAUUUUGGACAAUGGGCGCAAGACCUGAUCCAGCAAUGCCGCGUGCAGGA